rnacentral:snoRNA from 1 species
CUGAGCAUGUGAUGAUACAGUUAUCCCUGUCUGAAAAGGAGAAACCUUCUUUUUGUAGAGUUAUGUAGAUUCUGAAGCUCAG